GGGGCCAUAGCUCAUCUGGUAGAGCGACUGGUUCGCAAUCAGUAGGUAGAGGGUUCGAGUCCCUUUGGCUCCAGCA
rnacentral:tRNA from 1 species